UACGUAGGGUGCAAGCGUUGUCCGGAAUUAUUGGGCGUAAAGAGCUCGUAGGCGGUCUGUCGCGUCUGCUGUGAAAACCCGAGGCUCAACCUCGGACCUGCAGUGGGUACGGGCAGACUAGAGUGCGGUAGGGGAGAUUGGAAUUCCUGGUGUAGCGGUGGAAUGCGCAGAUAUCAGGAGGAACACCGAUGGCGAAGGCAGAUCUCUGGGCCGUAACUGACGCUGAGGAGCGAAAGCAUGGGGGAGAACAGG
rnacentral:rRNA from 1 species